rnacentral:rRNA from 1 species
CCUACGGGUGGCAGCAGUGGGGAAUAUUGGACAAUGGGGGCAACCCUGAUCCAGCCAUGCCGCGUGUGUGAAGAAGGCCCUCGGGUUGUAAAGCACUUUCAGUGAGGAAGAACGCCUGGUGGUUAAUACCCAUCAGGAAAGACAUCACUCACAGAAGAAGCACCGGCUAACUCCGUGCCAGCAGCCGCGGUAAUACGGAGGGUGCGAGCGUUAAUCGGAAUUACUGGGCGUAAAGCGCGCGUAGGUGGCUUGAUAAGCCGGUUGUGAAAGCCCCGGGCUCAACCUGGGAACGGCAUCCGGAACUGUCAAGCUAGAGUGCAGGAGAGGAAGGUAGAAUUCCCGGUGUAGCGAUGAAAUGCGUAGAGAUCGGGAGGAAUACCAGUGGCGAAGGCGGCCUUCUGGACUGACACUGACACUGAGGUGCGAAAGCGUGGGUAGCAAACAGGAUUAGAUACCCUGGUAGUC